rnacentral:rRNA from 1 species
AUCAAUAAGCGGAGGAAAAGCAACUAACCAGGAUUCCCCUAGUAACGGCGAGCGAAGCGGGAACAGCUCGAGCAGGCAAUCUCUGGUGUCGAUCGCCAGCGAAUUGUGGCCGGCAGAGGCGGGUGCACCAGACGCGACUCCGUCGAAGUUGACCUGGAAAGGCACGUCGGAGAGGGUGAUAGCCCCGUGCGCGGCGGAGUCGCCGAAGGCCGCUACCGCCUUCGGAGAGUCGGGUUGUUUGGGAAUGCAGCCCAAAGUGGGUGGAAAACUCCAUCUAAAGCCAAAUAACGGCACGAGACCGAUAGCGAACAAGUACCGUGAGGGAAAGGUGAAAAGCACUUUGGAAAGAGAGUUAAAAAGGCCGCGAAA